AAAUGGCUGAAAAUCUCCAUAGAUAUAGACUGCAAUGGCAAUAGGAGCCAGCUGUUAGUUUUAAAAGUCCAAACUCCAAUAUAUCAGUCAUUUUGUUUACACAGCCUGGGAACUGGAGCACAAAGGAAGAUCAAAACAGUUUUAAAAGCUCUUGGAAUGGAAGAUGUGCUUGAGAGACACCUCCUAAACAGAGAGACUGACACUGACAAGCUGCUUGGAGGGAAUUAGGUCCUCUGGAUUAGGGAAAGGUAAAUGCAGAUGAGGAGACACAUGGGCCAUCUACUCUUUUUAAGUUUAUAAAGAGGAUUGUGAAAACGUGCUGAACAGUGACUGUGAAGCAACGGAGGGAUGGUGUGUUUCCGGCCAUGUGAGUGCUGUGCAUGGCAGCAUGGACGCAUCAAUGCCACCAGCUCAUGUGGAACUGUUCCAGUCACCAGGGUACACUGAAAAUACAGGGGUGUAGCCCACCUGAGUUCCUGUUUCCCGUGUAAGAGGAAAGAAGUAUUGAAAUUAAAGGAGGGCAAACCAGCAAAUGAGAGACCAUAUUUGCCAGACCUGAAGAAUUUUCUUAAUUUUUUGUACAUGUGUUUAUAAUCCACAAUUUGGCUGACUUGAUAUGCUUUCACUAAUAAUAGAAUAUUUUGCGUACUUAAAGCAGUACUUGUUUAAGAGAAUACAUGUUCUCAUGAGCUGCUCCUGUUUGCAGAACAAAUGAGCAAAGAUUAACAAUGUAUGAAUAAUAUAAUACACCAUUAAAGGGCAUCUGCUGUA